UACAGAGGUCUCAAGCGUUGUUCGGAUUCAUUGGGCGUAAAGGGUGCGUAGGCGGCGCGGUAAGUCGGGGGUGAAAUCUCGGAGCUUAACUCCGAAACUGCAUUCGAUACUGCAGUGCUUGAGGACUGGAGAGGAGACUGGAAUUUACGGUGUAGCGGUGAAAUGCGUAGAUAUCGGAAGGAAGACCAGUGGCGAAGGCGGGUCUCUGGACAGUUCCUGACGCUGAGGCACGAAGGUCAGGGGAGCAAACGGG
rnacentral:rRNA from 1 species